CGUGGUCAGACUCUGAACAUCUUUUGAGGGAAGAACCAACAAAAUUUGCUGACAGAUUGGAAGGGCAAUGUGAAAAAGAGAGAGGAGUUAAGAAUGACUUCAAGGAUUUUGGACCUGAGCAAAUGGAAAGAGUGAGCUGUCAUGAACGGAGGUGAGAAAGACGACAAGAGAAAGGAUUUGGGGAUGUUUGGUGAGGUAGGGGUCAGGAAGCUGGUUUUUGUCAACAUGUUCAAUGGGAGAUGCCUGAAGACACCCAUGGGAUGUGCUGAGCAGCAGGGGAGAGGCUGGGCUGGAGAGACACUUGGGACCAACAGUGUAUAGAUGGUAUUUGAAGCCAGGAGGCUGCGGGAGGUCACAGAGGAGUGAGGGUGGGGACGGAAAAGAAGAGGGCUGAGGACCGGGCCCUAGGCCUCCUGUGCAAAGUGUUGGGGAAGGUGGAGAGUACUCAGCAAAGGAGACCGAGGUGAAGCCACCAAGAUAGGAGGGGAAUCCAAAGAUCGCUGUCCUGACAGCCAAGUGCAGAAAGAGCUUCCGGGAGGAGGAAGUGAAUGGUGUGUCCAGUGCUCUGUCAGCUCCGUUAAGAUCCAGACUGAGACUUGACCAUCAGAUUUACGGAGAGGGGUCACUGUUGACUUUAACAAGAGCCCUGUGGAGGAAGGGCGGGGGUGCGAGCCUGACCAGAGUGCCUCCAAGAGCAAGAGAGAGGAGAAGAUUGGGAAUUAGGGCAGGUACUUGACUCUGAGGAGCAAAGAAGCAGAGUGACAGACGGAAGAGGAUGUGGGCUCAAGAGACGGGUGUGUGUGUGUGAGAGAGACAUAUCAGCGCGCCUGCAUGCUGAUGAGAAUGAUCAAGUCUUGAGGAGACCUUCAGGAUGCGGGUGAAGAGGAGAGACUUGCUGGAGCCAUGGCCUUGAGAGAAUGAGAGCAGACGGCAUCCCGCGCCCCGUGGAGGAGGGGUGUUUGCUGGGAGCACAGGCACACAGCUGUACAAUGGAAGAGCGGUCCCCGCAGAGGGCAGAGGAGGCGGGGCGGGGCGUUCCCAGAGCCAGCACAGGGUGAGAGACACCCACGUUCCAUAGCAGGGACAUGUGCAGGCAUUUGCUCUCGGCUAUUUACAUACAUUAGCUUCAAAUUCUUGCAACAACCCAAUGAGAUAAAUGCUGUCACUGUGCCCAGUUUAGGUAGAAUACUGAGGCAUAGCAAUGUUCAGAAUUUUGUCCAAAGUCACACAAGUAGCAAUCGGCAUAGUCUGGCUGAUGACCCCUGCUCGCUGUACCAGGAUGAACGGAGGGACGACGGCUCAGCGGCAGCUGGACGAGAAGCUGCAGAGUUUGGUGAACCCAGAGCUGCGAUGAACUGACUGGUUUCUCCUUCUGAGAUGUCUGCUCAUUUGCAGGGCACUUUUCAGUCAUUCCCAACCGAGUCAGGAGGCCAGCAGGCAGAGGCGGGGCCAGGUCAAGCUCCCAGUGUGGCCUUGGUGCAGUCCGGAGUAUCGUUCCUCCCCACGGCCAUACAUUUUCCAUUGAUUCCCACAGGGAUUAUGGUGGCGUUUCCUCUCCUUUCCCUUCAAAGACACUCCUAGGAGCCUGAGCUCCUGGAUUGCAGUCCCCCGUCUUCCUGAGGAAGGGAAGGGAGGGAGGACAUGUUGAGGUGGCGUAGAACUGGUUCUGGCGCAGGCUGGCUGACUCGCUGCAAUCCUCUGGGCCUUGGCUGCGCGAGGCAGACAGGCCAGGCUGGGAUCUUCGUUCAUGGACUCCCGUGUUCCGUCAGCACACGGGUACCGCGUGCAGCUGUGUGCCGGCAUAGCACAGGGCACUGAGAUACGACCACCAGCACGAAGGGUGCGUCCUGCCUUUGUGAGCGUGCAGUCUGUGGGGGCGGGGUGAGGGGAGGCACUGAUAGCCACACGACUCUAAACGGGAUGCACGCUCUGAAGGAAUUUCCCAGCAUGCUGUGAGAGUCCCCUUUCCUGAGCACUUGUGUAAUGUGUGGGAAAUCUGACUGAGGCUUGACCACAAAACAAAACUGUCUUCAUUCAUUGUUCAUUCAUUCAUUCCUUCAAAAAAUUGUAACGAGCACCUGCCUUCUGGAGCAGUGGCUUUGUGUUUUGCAUUCCCCAACGAAGGGAUAAAUCAAGGCUGAUAGGAAGAUAUGACAUGAAAUGGGGCUGGGAACAAGUUUAUUUGGUCAACCAAAUUCAAGAGACAUUCGCUAUGUUUUGCUGUGGGCCCGGCGCUAGGACAUGAGUGUGUCGGGGUCAGGACGUGAUGGUGUCUGCCCUCAGGGAGCUCUUGGGGAACCCUGGGGUCUAAGUCUUGGGCAGAGGGGAGUAAGCUGGACCAGGGUGAGCCCACUGGGGUUUGAAUCUGGGCUUCACCACACAAGAGUAUAAGACCUAAGGGGAAUUUUGAAACAUUCUGUAGCCUCCAUUUUCUCAUCUGUAUAUAAAAAUAAGGACAUUUCUCAAUAUUAUUAUAUACUGUGCUAAGCACUGAGCGUGCACUACUUCAUUGACCCACAUAACAGCCUUAGAGGUAUGUUCUUUCCUUUCUCCAUUUAACUGAUGGGGAAACCGAAGCUCAGAAACGAAAAGAGAUGCUGAUGUCAUAAUGCUGCCAAGGGCUCUCUUUUAUUCUCACAAGAUAUAGGACAGGUGGCUGACAGAGACCCCACAACCCUCAGGCAACGUGGGCUCCAAACUUGUCUGAUCCAUCAUCUCUCUUAGAAACGCUACAAAACAUGUCCUCAUCGAUCUUGUUUAUUUAGAAACAAAGACCUGUCCUACCAUCCGUCUACAUGGCAAAGAUUCACUUCUUAUCUUGGAUAAAAUCAAAUAUACAUAAAGAUUGCAUCUAAACAUAAAUACAGAUACAAUUGCUCCCUGCCCCCCAGUGAGUCACUGAGCACUUGGAGACCAUGCUCCCAGAUCACUUCACGGGGGACAAUGGUGCCCAGAGAGGCCAAGCAACUUGUCCAGUUGCUCAGUGGCAGUAGACCGCUGGGGAGAUUUUGCCCCCAGGUGACACUGGGCAAUAUCUGGAGACAUUUUUCAUUGUCGUGACUGAUGUGUGGGGUGAAAGGGAUGCUGCUGGAACCCAGUAGUAGAAGCCAGGAAUUCUGUUAAGCCAGGAGCCCACAGUGCACAGGACAGACCCCCACAGCAAAGGAUUACCCGGCCGCAAAUGUGAAUAGCACCAAGGCUGAGAAACCCUGGUCUCAGCCCUCUGGGGCCAGGUGGCCUGAGUGUGAAUUUGGGCUCUGUUGCUGGCUGGCAACCGUGAGCACAUUACUUAACCUCUGACCUCCAGUUUUUUCGGCUGAAACGGAGGUUAAUAAUACCAGUGUGGGAAGACGGUGGCAUUAAAUGAGACCCUUUCUAUGCGAAAGGCCAAGGGUUAAUUCUCAUCUUGUUCUCCCACGCCCCUGUCCUCAGUGGUCUCAGCUCUUCCGUGAAGUUGACUUAUUUCCCAGGGCGACUGGGAAGGGUCGGCCGAAAGCCGCCAAGGGCAUUGGAAGCUACACAAGCGCUCUAAAUGCUAAGGAGCCAGGCCAAUCGGUCAGAAAGUUCCAACGCGGGUUUCCAUGUUGCAAGACCUGAGGCAGCGCCCAGGAGAGGGCGCGAGCUGGGGGUGUCUGUGAGCUGCGGGUGCCAGUGGGAGGGGUAAGUUCAGUCUGUCUACAGCAGGGCGGCAGCCUCCCUCCUUCUGUCCCACCUCUUCUCUGAACAUUUCCUGCUCCACUUCUUGGAACUGUCUCUCCCUUCUUUCUUUCCUUUCUUGCCUACUUCCUUCCAGUGAACAGACUUCAGACAUCAUCACACAGAGACAACCCAGUCCUGACCAUCACUGUAGACAGACAUAGAAACAGACCCUUGCAAUCCGUGUCCUGGUACAGAGGGGCGCCAGGAAGGAGGUGGUCCAGCCUAUCUGAGAAUGGAGAGAGGGUUUGGGAAAAAGGUUCUUGGAGGUGUGGCUGGAGCUGUGAGACCCAGCCCCCAUCUCUAACCAGGUUAGAUGCCUCUGCUACCAGGUUGUCAGUAGACUGUAGGCAUCGUGUGGGCAGGGACUUCUAUUUUGUUCCCUGUUGGAGCCUCAGAGCCUGGAAUGGUGCCUAGCAUAUGGUGGGCACUACUACAUAUUUGUGGAAUGAAUAAACAGUGUUUAGAAAUUUGCCAAAUGGGCCUGGGAGAGAAGGGAAGGGCAUUCGGAGCACGGGGAACAGAACUAGCAAAGGCAGGCAAAAGAUGAGAAUUAUGAAAGAUAUAGGAGGAAAUGCUGGGGAUGGUUAGUGAGCUGGGCACGUGGCCCCAGCCCAGGGCUGGUAGCAGAGGCCUUGCAUGUGUGCGGCAAGUCAUUGUAAGUUAUCCGAAGAUGAGAGGAUAUUUUUUUCAGGGAAAGGGUGCAUUAAGAAAGAAAGAGUUGGGAAGGGCAUGACAGCACUCAUUCAGCAACAUUUACUGAGUGCCUGUGAGGUUCCAGGCACUGCGCUAGCCUGGGAGAGAGAUAGCAGGGGCCAGAACCAGUGGGGAUGGGACUCAGGAGCUAAGCUUCGCACAGCACUGAGUGAGCGCCUGCUGCCUGACUGGGGGUGGGCUGGAGGAGGCUGCUGGGGGAAGGGCCAGUCAAGCAGGACUCUGUGGUUUUAUGCCACAGGAACUGACAGGGUGCUGGAGUCAUCGAGGAAAAUAGAGACUACAGAAAGAAACGGGUUGGAGUAGAAAGUGCACUGUGUGACUUUGGGCCAAUUCCUUCUGUGAGCCUUAGUUACUAUUUUUAACAUUAUCAUGAUUACAAACCAGGCAUAGGAGCUUUAUGUACCCAUUUCAUUUAAUCCUUAUAACAUUUCUGCAAAGGAGAUAUUCUCUCCCCCAUUUUACAAAUGGAGAAAUUGAGGCACAGAACUUUAAAUGAUUUCCCAAGGUCAUAGAGCUAGUAAGAUGCUGGGAGAAGCAACAGCGGCAUUGAAGGAUGUCAGACUCCCAAUCCAUUCCUUUCUCCCUCCACCCAGCUCCAAGAAGCUCACCUCAGACACUGGCCUCCAGGCCACCAGCUUAAUCUUGAGAGGUCCAAACUGCUGCUGGAGCCAUCCGGGCUCCCCGGGUCUGCGCUGGGGCAGCGGGUCCGAGCCCCCUGCGGCUAGAAGCUGCGCUCUUCUCAGGACCAUUCCCCACAGACCAUUCCCUCGGUGGAGCCUGGAAAGAAGGUUAAAGGCGACUUCUGCACGUCAGUCAAGAGGCUCCUUCUUGCGAGUGUGACAUCUUAGCCUGAGCGAGGCCGUGCCCAUCUCUAACACAGGGCGGCUGCCAGCGCGUCUCGGGAGGAGCCGGGAAAGACUGCAGGCACCUGCAUGGGGCUUCUCGCGUGGCGAGUGCUCGAUCCACGGAGGAGACACUGGAGGGGUGGCCGGGCCCACAGGCCCCCGGGAGGCAGUUUGCUCUCCUUCAAACCCCAGUUCAUCACAGCUCACACCAGCUGUGACAUGUGGGGCAGGUCUUAAUCUCUUAGUGCCUUGGUUUCUUGAUCUGUAAAACUGGUGUAAUAACAGAAUCUACUCUGUAGGGUAGUAGCAGAGAUGAAAGGAAUGGAGAUGAGAGAUGCCUGAUGCACUCAGAACACCGCCUCCUACCUCCCCAGUGGAACGGCCCAAGGACUCCUGCCCAUGCCUUUCUCAGAAACCAGCCCCCCCACAAAGGAGGAGGAGUCAUUGCGAGCAGGCUCCAACGAAGAGGAAGGGAAUAGUGGCUUUGAUUCAUUCUUUUCUCCAACGUUUUUUUAUUGAGCAUUUAAUUUGCAGCAUGUCAAACACUUAGGUGCCAGGGAGGCUCCACAAGCAAGACGGCACCACACCCCAAGGAACUCGAGGUGGAAAACGAGACCGGGGGAUAAGGAACCGAGAAGCCCGGCGUGUUGGGUCACAGCAGGGGAGAGUCAGGACUUCUGGUUGGGAAUGGCAUUUGCAAAGAUACCGAAUGUUCACGCUUUGCCUUGCACAGCUAUUUGCAUUCAGUAAGAGGAAAUUGUGGGUUUUAUUACCAAAAUGGUUGAUUAUGAAAAUGAUGAAGAUAAUGAUGUCCUUGGAAAUGACUCCAGCAUGUGAAGGUGGAGGAGGGGAGAACGAUGGGAGAGGAGGCUGGGAGUGGGGCAAGCAGAGUCUGGGUCCAAAAGGUCCCAGUGAGCCAGACAGGGAGUUUAAAUUUCAUCCUGGAAGCAGCAAGGCCCCUGGGAAGAAUUUCAAGCAGGAGAGGUGGGUGGCCAGCUCUGUUUUAACGAGAUCAUACCGGAGGCUGCGUUGAGGCUGGGUUGGAGUGAGGUUGACUGGAGUCUGGGAACAUUAGAAAGGUAACUGGCAGCUGGCCUCACUGGGGGGCAGGGGAAAGGGGGCACCACCUCACCUGGACUUGAGAUGAGCUGUGUCACAUCCAGGCCUCAAUUCUAUCAACUUGAGCUUAGUGUAUAUGAAUCCAAAAGGGAAUAAUGUCCACUGACUUCCCAGCUGUCUCCAGGAAUGAAGAUUGGCAACCUGGUCCCUCUCUUUUCUGAGGCCCUGGGCAGCCAGAGGGCCAGGGUCAUGGGCUUGGCUGUGGUAGGCAGAAUAAUGGCCCCCCCCAAAUACGUCAAGGUCCUAAUCCCCAGAAUGUGUGAGUAUGUCACUUUACAUGAUAAAAAAGACUUAGCAGAUGUGAUUAAGAUAAGGGUCUUGAGAUGGGGAGAUUAUCUUGGAUCAUCCCAGGUGAGAGGAUGCUGCACUGCUGGCUUUGAAGACGGAGGAAGCGGCCUUGAGCCUGGGCACGUAGGCACCUCUAGAAAGUAGAAAAGGAGCACAAACAGAGGCACUCUCAACAAGAAUAUACACCUAUGUGCUGGGGGGCUUUGGGAAGGGAAGAAAAAAUGAAAGUGGAAAAGGCAAAGAAUGGGACCCUCCCCUGCAGCCUCCAGAAGGGCCGGCUCUGUCUGUCGGCAUGACUUCAGCCCAGUGCCGCCGGCUCGGGACUUCCCACCUCCAGCAGCAGCACAAGACAGCAUGCGGCUUUACGCCACCAAGUUUGAGCUCAUCUUAGGAAUUGAAAGGAGGGUGUUCUUUUUCUUCCCUUAGUUCCUGCCCAGGGCCAGGACUAGCUGGAGGGGGACCAUCCAGGAAAGCUCCAAACCGUGUUUGUCCUGGAGGCUGAGGAGACGCCAACGGGUGAGAGAGGGAGGAGAGCGCACAGAUGCAGUGCAGACGCUGCCCUGGAGAGAACGCUGCUCCGGGCCAGGCUCGUGCUGGGCGCUCUCAUGGACUGCCUCACUCUCCUCUCAAUAACCAGGGGGAAACUGAGGCACACAGAUUUUAAGUAACUUGCCUGAGGCCGCACAGCUAUAAGCGGCAGAGCAGAGACCUGCCCCCGUGUGCCGCUGGAGCCCACGCUCUUUACCUUGCACUGUAUCCUAGGAGGAGCCGGGGGUGGGGGAGGCACUGUGGGGCGUUCCUCGAGUGGGAACCUGUGUCACCAGCCGCCCAAACUUCUGCUUGCCCGAGGUGUCUUGUCUCUCCCCGUUUCAGGAUAGCGGCGAAGGAAGGGGAAUUCCCUCUCUGUCUCUCUCUGUCUGUAUAACCCUUGACCCCUCUGCUGGAGCUUUCCCUGGAAAGGAUGUGACCCAAGAUGAGAUAUCAGGAAAGCAGGUGUGUCUGGCCGUGUUUGACCCUCAGCAGUUCUGUGGCCUUGACUUCAUCCUGAGCUAUCAGAGUGGGCAGGAGUAUAUUUCAGACGGGGAAACUGAGACCCAGAGUAGGAAUUGUCUUGCCCAGAAUGGUUUCUGCAAGGGGCAGUUUUCCACCCUCAGGAGGCCUCUUUGUCAUGGACUAUGGAGGUGGCAAAAGAGAUACAAUGCGUGUCUAUAACCAGGCUCUGCAGUGGCAUCUGAUGCGGCUUUUCUGGUCUGCCUCAGUCACAGAUUAUGAUAAAAAUUCCUGGUUCAGCCACUUAACUGGCUGAGUGACCCUGGGCAAGUUAUCCAACCCCUCUGUGCCUCAGUUUCAUCACCUAGAAAAUGGGGAUUACCUAUGUAAAGUGUUUCCUGCUCUGGUGGAUGAGGCGGGGGCAAAGAGACAAUGAUGCCAGUACCCAACACUUCCAAAACAGGGAGCGCUGGAUGGGCUCGGACCUGACGCCGAACCCCUUUCUGUUCUUUUUCUCCUCUCAGUUCUUCUCCCCAGAGUUUUCACAGGAAUUGAGAAUCGUCAGAGAGAGUUUGGUCACAUCCGGUUCUACCUGCCCCUGACAGGGGGAGCGGUGAGCCUUGGGAGCAUCUGGGAGGCCAGGGCUGCACACUCAGGGCUGCCAGCUCAGGGGGAGGUCCGGGUUUGCUGUGGGGGGGCAGCCAAUGCGGGGAGGAGCCAAGGGAAGCCCCUCCCCCGGGAGGUGUGGGCCCAGCCUUGCUCCUGUCCCGCUCUGGCUUCACUCUCUUGGGCUACAGAGACAUCCAUAAAUGAUGUGCCCUCUCUUAAUGACUGCAGCCACCAUGUGCAGGGGCUUUGACAGGGUUCACUUGGUGAGCCCAACAGGCCACUGAGGCAGUAAUGCCUAGCCCAUUUCAACAGCGGAAGAAGCAGGAGCCCACACACUCUGGCCCGCAGGCUCCAGAGGUCCUGCUCGGUCUAGCACUGCAUCCCUCCAUGCUCCCUCACUCAUCCCACUCCCGCCCCCUCCUGCGGGGCCGCCUCCGUGCUGGCCCCAGACAGACCCUGUGCUGAGGUCCCCCACCCUCGCACGUGUCCCCUACCCCUGUGUCACCUCUCUGAGCCCUUUCUUUAAGGUCAGUUUGAAGCUCCCUGCUUCCCUUCCUCCCUUCCACAAACCUUCCGAACAACUUCUGUCUCCCUCCUCGACAAAACCUCGAAUAGACCCCUGCACCCCCCGAGUUGUCAGAAGGGACAGCGUGGCCAGGAAGGGAUGGCACUUGUUGACGCUUGCCACAUGCUGCCUACUGUGCAAAACAGUUUACAUGUAUCACUCCAUUUGAUUCUCUUGGGAGGCAGGUGCUAUCAUUGUCCCAUUUUACAGAUGAGGAAACCGAGGCUUAAAAAGUUUAGGCUACCCACCCAAGAUCACAGAGGCAGGAAAUGGAAAAAUGUGGACCCAAACUCAGAUCCGUCUGAGCCUAAAGCUUGUGCUCUUUACCGCACAAUUUGGCCUCCUGCUCUCUAGGCGCCCCUCGCCAGGCUGGCCCUAUCUCCCUUCUAGGUCUCAUCUCCAUGGGCCCUCCUGUCAUUCACUCCAAUUGACUCCCCUUGCAUUUUCGUUCCUCUGGGCCUUUGUGCAUGCUAUUCCUUCUACCUGGAACACCUUUCCCUUUCUUUUGUGCCAUCAAAAGCCUUCCCAUGCAGGGAGCCCUUUCUCUGGGAGUCCCUCCUGGAGGCCCUGGCGGCUCCCACCUCCGACUGUGGAGAGAGCCACUUCCUUCCUGCUGGCCCUUGCAGCGUGCUUCUCUAUGUGACUGCAGCGUGCUGAGUCUGUGCUGGUGUCCAACUGCCACACAUUAACUGAGCACCCAUUUCGUGCCUGGCACUGGGGGCUCUUGGGACAUGGGGGUGAGCCAGAUAGGUGUGUCUCAGCUGUUGCAGCGUUUGCAGCCUUGGGGUGAGGAACAGGCCCAUGCUCAGGACCACACGGCGGCCUGAGUCUUGUGGUGGGGCAGGAUAAGGGGCUUCAAGUGCUCCCAAGAGGAGCACCUAUCCAGGACCAGGAUGGGCAGCAGGGCUCCAUGGAGCAAGUGGUAGUAAACCAAGGUGGAGAGAGUCAAGCCAGGAGGGGGUGAAGGGGGAAAGCAAUGUCUCAGGCAAAGGGAACAGCCUGUGCAAAGGCCCAGGGGUGAUAGAAAGCUAGGUGAGAUCAGAAUGCCACAGAGAUUGGCAUGGCCAGAAAAUAGAGCAUGCAAGGCAAGUGUUGCAAGAACACUCUGGAGAGGCGAGCUCCGACUCUGGCCAAAAACGUUUGCCAGAAUCUUGCCUCUCUCUCCCACUCAUCUGUGGGCUCAGGUGGCUUAGAGGACAGUGUGGCAUGGGAGUUAACAGCCUGGCCUUGCAGCCAGCAAACCCAGGUGUGGCUUGAGUGACUUCAGACAGCUGCUUACCUGUUCUGGGUCCCACUCUCAUCUUUUAAAUGGGAAUCAUCAUACCACCCCCUCCGAGGGCUUGGAGAGGACUGUGUAACGGAAGGGAUGAGCACAGUCUCUGGCCCACGGGAGCAGCUGAAUGCAGGGCUGCUGCAGCGAUGGCAAGAACACAUGGGAACGUGUUAGACACCAUGUUGCUGUUGUCACCAGUAUUCUUACCAUUAUUUCUGUUGUUGGAUCUGAGUCGUCUCUGCCUCUCUUAUGGAUGGCACCAAGGGCUCUGUUGCCUACCCAGCUCUGGGUCCUGGGGAAGGAGCCGGCAAGAUGGCGAGCGCCAGGAUCAUAGAACAACCCCUUUGCCCUCCGCAGCUGUGCGCGGGCCAGGGAAUGAGAGGUCUGUAGCCCUGUGGACUAGUCUGGCAGGGGCUCCGGACACAGAAUCCGGAUGCUAUGUGAACACCCCAGCCUGGCUGGGAAAGCUGCCCACCAGCCCGUCCCCCUCUGCCCUUAUAUGGCCUUCCCUUUCUUGGGGAUGAGUUGAACCUCCUCAGGGUUGGAUGUUCUCGUCCCCCUGCAGGACGCCAGGACGCCUGCUGGGGUGGUGAUUCUUUUCUUGUGGGCAUUCCCAUCUGAUCAAUUUUCUGCCCUCUCUGGCUGCUCUGAGCUGAGGGCUGCCCCCUAAGAACGCAUCACCCAGACCCCCUUGGGCUCUCAAUUCUGGCCGGAUCUGGCCACAGGGAAGCUGCAGCAGGAGAGAGGAGUGUACGGGGAGAGAGGUCAGGCAUCCAUCCCUCUCUCCGUCUGCUCCUUCUUCCACUGUCCUGACAUUGGCUGUGACCAGGACAGCUGUAGCUCCCUGGCUGCUCCUCCUUGGCUCCGGCUCUCAGGCCCCCCAGAGCACCUUCCUUCUCUUCUGCUUGAUCGCUAAGAGGGGUGUGGGCUUCCCGCUGCUCUAGGCCCGGGGGGGCUGCCUUGACCUCUCUUGCUGGUUUCCUUGACCUGCCCCCGCCUCUGAGCACAGCCCUGCUCCGCGCUGUUGCUGUCGCUGUCGCAGGCUGCCUGUCUCCCGCUGACUCCCAUCAGUGUUCCGCGGAGGCUGUCCAGGCUCCUCCAAGAGACCCCGCCCAGCCAGGACCAGGGUGCAGGGCUGCCCCUCUUCUCCUCUCCUGUAACCUGGGUGCCUCCUAAGAGGGCAGGCCAGGGUCCCACAUGGGCACUCGUCCUGGAGGGGUUGGAGCUGCCUGUGGGACUGCAGAGGAAGCCAGGAUUCCAUCACAGAGGGCCUCAGGGGCCAUGGGGGGAGGAUUUGGGGUUUUAAGAACAACAAGCUGUGGCAGAUUUUUGGGAUGGGGAUUGCCAUCCUCUGGUUUACAAAUGUAGAGGAUUUAUCUGCUGAGAGGUUCUAGACGGUCUGUGUAGACCCAGGGAAGCUAUCUGGGGUGCUGGGGCAGUAGUUGCCCUGUGACAUUAUGGGGCUCUGCCACCAUUAGAGACAUCUGCCACCUCCACUGUGAAGCCUCAGCUGGUCACCCACGAAGGGUUGAAGGCUUCCUUCCUGUGUGUUCACAAAACUUUGUCACAGCAGCUAUCACAGUCGCCCCUCCUCCUGUCCGCAGCGCGCCUCUGCCUCAGCGCCCGCUCACUCCCGGGUCCCAGCACGCGCAGGGCCUGCACACAGAGGGUGCGGUAGGGCUGGCGCUUCGCUGAACUGGUUGGGACUGUCUACCUUCAGUGCAAAUGCCUUUGAAGGUGCCUCCUGUUACAACAUGAGUAACUGUUAAGGGAUGCCCAGCGUCAGAUCAGCUUGCGCCGCCUUGUCAGGCAAGGAGAGACAGUGGACAUUGGCUGCGUGCUUCCCCACGCCGCCUCGUCCAGUCCACUUGCCAGCCCUGGGAACAGGCAGUCCUGCCCCGUUUCACAGAGGGGAAACGGAGGCUCAGAAGAGUGGUCUAACUUGGAUCAGGUCGCCCAGCUUGUGAGUGACAGAGCCUGGGUGCCAACCAGGUCUCUCUGUCUCCUAAAGCUGUCAGCGGAGCCAAACGCCGCCAGGAGAACUGGACCAGCCUGCUCAGGAAACUGGCCUGGAAAGAAGGAGUCCAUUGUUUACCAGCUUGUUACUGUGGCUCUGGGCGCAUUAUGGAUCCAAGCAGGUGACACGGAGCAUGGAGCUGCAGCCAAGAGAAGGUUUCAGAAAGACGUGGUCCCACCGUAGCAGUGAGCAGGCAGGAGAGUCAUCGCCCUCCCGGAAACCAAGCCCGCUUUGGAUUGUAGAGAACAGACCGCACAUCUGACACGCGAGUUUCCCAAUUCCUCCCGAUUUGUAGGCUGAGUUUGUAAAACUCUAAAUAUUUGUCUGACUUUUAAGACUGUUUUCUUCAAGUCUCAGUCGGAGACUCUGGAGGGAAACGCCUAGAGCCCCGGGCCGGCGCUGGGCUGGGAGCUGGUGCCCGGAAGUCGCUCCUGCUUCCUGGGUUUGGUGAGCACCUCCUCAUCAGAUUGCCCUGGAAACCUCCACGAGCUGCCAUCAGACAGAUGGGUCUCCUUCUGCAUGGGGAGGGCUGAGGCCCAGGACCUCCAGCACAUGUCCCAUCCUCUUUGCUGGACCAUUCUGCUGCUCGUGGCAUGACCCUGGCACAGUGGCCACGUGGGAUUAAUUCCAAACCUCUGACCUGGCUUUGCGCAUGCCGUUCCUUCUUCUUAGACUCUCCUUCCCUCACCUCCUCUGAACUCAGGGCUCUCCAACUUCAUCCUCAGGACUCAGUGUGGUUCCUCCUCUGGGACGAGGCUCUAAGGGGGAAGUGGCUGUCGGCUCUGUGCUCCUUUCUAGCAUCAGCCCCUUUCUUGUCAUCUUUGCGUGUCCCUGUUUCUCAUCUGGGAGCUCCUUCAGAGCAGGGCGUUGUUGUUCAUUUAAAGAUCUUUAGGCCCUGACAUAGGGCCCAGUCUGCGGCUGGUACUCAGUGAAAGAAGGACUUCAAGAGGAGUCCUGAAUUUUAAACUUUUUGCUCAAAUGAACAGGGCACUCGGGCCUUCACAGAAAGAGUGGUAGGAUGAGGGGUGCGUGGACUGCUGUUUAGGAGACCCCUCGGGCCGAUCUGGGUCAGCCCCCAUUAUUCUGCACCUGAGAAAGUGGGAGCUUAGUGACAUCCCAGCUGCAUGUGUUGCUGGCAGAGCUGAGGUCUCCCCACUCUCAGUCCAGUGCCCAAUCUGUGAUCUCAGGAUGUCCCUCGUCCUCAUGAGAAUGAGCUGCAGCAAAGACAUGGCUGGUGGCGUGGAGAAAGGCAUCCAGGGACAAGAUACUGGGAGUGACAAAAGUCCCUGGAGUGUGGCUUGCCAUCUUGGCAGCAGGCUGCCUGGCAGACUGGAGGAUGCUAAUGAGAAGAAAGCCUCGGGAGUGCCAUGGCAGGAGCUCUGGGUUGCAGACUUGGGCUUCUCAGGCCAGACCCGCUGGCCCGAGUCAGCUCAGGAACCAGGGAAAAGUGCCACAGAGCCGUCCCCAAACCAAAGGCUUCAGGCUCCUUGCAGUUGGGCAUCUGGCCAGAUGUUAAGAAAAGGGGACAUUGCAAAGAACUCUAGCAGGAGGAAGUGGUUUGAGUUUCCUGCUUGAAGGAGGAUGCUUCAUUUAAAUAGAAUUCGGUAGAAUUAAGUAGAAGGGGGAAGUCUCUCGAGCCCUCUGCUUGGACCUGGAAGUCUGCUUCUUGCAGAGAAAGAGGAUUCAGAAAUGGCUUCCCAGGGAACCAGAUUUUACCCCAAAUUCUCAAUCGGGGUGGGGAUGGAUGUAACAGAAAACGUUUCCAACUACUGAGCCCCUGUUCUGUGUUGGGUACUUCUCUCAGUUAGUGCUUCUCCCCAAAUCCUCGUGGAAACUCAGGUUCCCAGAGGGGAAGUGAUUUGCCGCAGAAGACACAGCAAGGCAGGCUGGCACUCGGACCCACUCCCGGCUGACCGCCUCGCCACGUCCGCUCCCAAAGCCGGCUGGCCUCCCUGGGCCUGCGGGCCUCAGUCUGAGUGAGCUUCUCUCGUCUGUGAGCUGACAGUCACCAGGCCAGGCCCCUCCCUGCUUUGCAAAGCUCAGUUUUGCACAGCUAACCUCUUCAGUAGACCUCAGGGAGGUUCGACCGUGAGGGCCUGAGGACAGGGUCUGGGGUGCAUCACCUCUGUCUUCCCCGCACUGGCUCAAGGGCCUGGACCCAGUAGACGCACGGAAACAAUGGUCCCCGUGCCAGGAUCUUCUGUGUGGUAGCUCACUUCAUUCCCACACUGAGCCGGGGCCUGGGUUUGUCAUGCUCAUGUCUGAGAUGGGAAAACAGACUCAGGAAGAGAAGUAAUUUUCUCAGGAUAUGUUGCUUGAUUGUCUUUUAAAAAUAAAGGUAUUCCCUGAGUAUGGUAUAAGUAAGAUGUUUUAGGACACUUCUCUGCAAGAAGUAGCAUAUUUACUUGUAUUUCUAAAUCAAAUAAAUUUGGCUUGCCACGCCCACCUGCAUUUGGCAGGAAAUUCCGUCUCAGCGUGUGGGGUGGAGGUCGCCCCGAAUGCGGGAGUUUAUAGGGGAUGGUGUUUAGACAAGAGUCUGCCUCUGGCCUUCAGCUCCAAGACGUUCCAAUCACAGGGCAAUGCUAAUCAAGCGACGCUUUGGAGCCACUUCCCAGAGUGGCCUGGGAACGCCCCCGCAGGUCAGGUGCUGUUCGAAGAGUUGGCACGGUGUGAGAUUUUUAACCUCAGUGGGUGACGAUGGCCUCCUUCUUCCGCCCUCCCCCCAUCACACAUCCUCUGUUGGGUAAGUUGUAUUGGCCGUGGGCGUUUUAUAUUUGUAAUGUUCUUUUCUUAAAGAAAGCUCCUCAAAAUGCAUAUAUUCAGGUCCCACAAAACCUAGAUGUGCUCCUGCCUGCUUCGUUCACGGUGGCAGUCCCUCCACACGUGCCCUGAGCUGCCUUCCUGGUGGCCCUGGAGCCGUGGCUCUUCCUGUGAAAUCUUCGGCUUUUCCUCUUACCCUUUCAGAGGUUCCACCUUCCUGGAUGGGGGUGCUAUGUGGAAAUGGGAUACUGGUCACCCAUUUUGGAAACAGCAGCUUCCACAGUUUAUUUUGCCAUCUUGGAGAAGCCUUGCCGAGGUUAGGCCAUUCCCCAUUUUCAAGCACAGAGGAAAGGGUACAGAGGCCUUUGCACACACAAUGUCACAGUCAAGGUCAGAAUGUCACAAAGUCACAGGGUCACAGUUAAGGUCACAGUGCCACCAUCAAGGUCACAGGGUCACAGUCAAGGUCAGAGGGAAGGCCAGCAGUGAGACAGCAGCAGGUUGGAUGUGGCUGUCUUCAUUCUCUUAGAUGAAGUUCAAGGCAAAGGUCUCUGACAGUCCUUGGAAGAGAAUGUCCAGCUUGUUUUCCUGCCCAGAGCCUAGUAAACAGGACAACUGGAAUCUGUGGUGGCCUCAGGACACAUGGACUGCAGCCUGGCUGGCCGUGGGAGAGAAGGCAGUGUGGAAAUGGCUGACAUUAGGACCCACCCUGGCCUCUGCACUUGAUCCCCAAGGAAAUUCCUCUUCUGGGACAACCUGUCUCAGGCACUUGGAAUCUGUAUCUUGGGUCAGAAAAUAUGCACAGCCUUUGACCCAACGAUUCUACUUCUAGGAACGCAAUAAGAAGGAUAGUUGCUGAUGUGUGCAAAGAUAUAUGUCCAAGGGUGUUCAACGUAGUGUUGUUUGUAAUAGAGAAAAAGUGGAAGCAACUCAAAUAUCCAGCAAUGGUGGUAAGUCAGGAAACUUGUGUUGCUACAGUGCAUCUAUAUGAUGGAAAAAUAUUAGCCAUUAAUAAUCAUGUGGUAAAGGAAUGUGUAUUGAUAUGGAAUUUUCAGAAUAUUUUGCCAAAUGAAAAAAGGCUAUCAAACAGCAUGUACUGCCUGUUCUUACUUAAUCAUAUAAUUACAUAUUACGCUGAGGUUAACUGAACACUUACUGGAUGCCAGGCAUGGCUCUAAGCAUUUAAAAUACAGUCAUACAUUUCAUCGUGCAACGUCUAUGAAGAAGAUAUUUUUAUUAUCUAUAUAUUACACAUAAGGCACCUGAGACACAGAGCAUUUAAGUAAUUCGCCCAAGGUCACACAGUAGUAAGUGGCAGAACCUGAAUGUGACUAAGGCAGCUGGGGUCCGGAGCCAUGCCUACACCACUAAGCUGGCCCUGCUCUCUCUUCCUGUGUGUGUGCAUGUUUGUAUAGUUUUCUCUCUCUUUCUCAGAGGCUUUACACCAAAAUGUUAGCUGUGUCUUCAGUCAUCCCUUCCUCAAACAAGAUACAGCAGAUGUUUCCAUGAUGCGAGGGGAUGCUGCAGCUACUGCGGCACUGGGGGACAUCUGCGCCUUGAGCACAGAGACCACGCCACGUGCCUGUGUGGACUCCACAUGGGCACGUCCCCAAUUCACCAAUUCAGCAAACAGUGACUAGGCACCCAUUCUGUGCAGGCCUUGUUCUAGGUUUUGAGGAUUCAAAAGUGAACAGGGAAGGCACACAGGACAAUUCUCCCAUAAAACUGACAUCCCAGUGGGGAGGCAGAGAGGUGACCAGUAAGUAAACAGCCAAGAAAAACACCAGCUGGAGAUCAGUGUUGUUGGGAUCUGAAAUUAGAAGAGUACGAGAGAGUGGGACCACAGCUACAGGGGUUAAAUGGCCAGGAAAGGGGACUUUUUAGAGGUGGCAUCUCAGCUGAGACUUGAAUGACCAGAAGAAACAAGAUAUUUGUCUAUAUCCGUAAUGUAUCUAUGUCUAUCUCUAUCUACCUAUCUACCUACCUACCUAUCUAUCAUCUAUCUGUCCAUCACCUAUCUAAUCUGAGAGAGAGAGAUAAAUCAAACCCAGUAAAAUGUUAA